UCUGCAGUCGAGCGACUGAUUAGAAGCUUGCUUCUAUGACGUUAGCGGCGGACGGGUGAGUAACACGUGGGCAACCUGCCUGUAAGACUGGGAUAACUUCGGGAAACCGAAGCUAAUACCGGAUAGGAUCUUCUCCUUCAUGGGAGAUGAUUGAAAGAUGGUUUCGGCUAUCACUUGCAGAUGGGCCCGCGGUGCAUUAGCUAGUUGGUGAGGUAACGGCUCACCAAGGCAACGAUGCAUAGCCGACCUGAGAGGGUGAUCGGCCACACUGGGACUGAGACACGGCCCAGACUCCUACGGGAGGCAGCAGUAGGGAAUCUUCCGCAAUGGACGAAAGUCUGACGGAGCAACGCCGCGUGAGUGAUGAAGGCUUUCGGGUCGUAAAACUCUGUUGUUAGGGAAGAACAAGUACAAGAGUAACUGCUUGUACCUUGACGGUACCUAACCAGAAAGCCACGGCUAACUACGUGCCAGCAGCCGCGGUAAUACGUAGGUGGCAAGCGUUAUCCGGAAUUAUUGGGCGUAAAGCGCGCGCAGGCGGUUUCUUAAGUCUGAUGUGAAAGCCCACGGCUCAACCGUGGAGGGUCAUUGGAAACUGGGGAACUUGAGUGCAGAAGAGAAAAGCGGAAUUCCACGUGUAGCGGUGAAAUGCGUAAAGAUGUGGAGGAACACCAGUGGCGAAAGCGGCUUUUUGGUCUGUAACUGACCCUGAAGCGCGAAAGCGUGGGGAGCAAACAGGAUUAAAUACCCUGGUAGUCCACCCCCUAAACGAUGAGUGCUAAGUGUUAGAGGGUUUCCCCCCUUUAGUGCUGCAGCUAACGCAUUAAACACUCCCCCUGGGGAGUACCGU
rnacentral:rRNA from 1 species